rnacentral:rRNA from 1 species
UUCGUAGGUGGUGCGGCAAGUUGGGAGUGAAAUCUCUGGGCUUAACUCAGAGGCUGCUUUCAAAACUGCCGUGCUCGAGUGCGAGAGAGGCCAGUGGAAUUGCAGGUGUAGCGGUGAAAUGCGUAGAUAUCUGCAGGAGCACCCGUGGCGAAGGCGGCUGGCUGGAUCGCAACUGACACUGAGGAACGAAAGCUAGGGGAGCAAACAGGAUUAGAUACCCUGGUAGUCCUAGCCCUAAACCAUCAGAACUUGGGGUGGCUCGCGUAGGCGGGUCGUCCCGUAGCUAACGCGUUAAGUUCUGCGCCUGGGGAGUACGGUCGCAAGACUGAA